rnacentral:rRNA from 1 species
UGGGGAAUAUUGGACAAUGGGCGCAAGCCUGAUCCAGCCAUGCCGCGUGUGUGAAGAAGGCCUUUUGGUUGUAAAGCACUUUAAGCGAGGAGGAGGCUACUUGGAUUAAUACUCUAGGAUAGUGGACGUUACUCGCAGAAUAAGCACCGGCUAACUCUGUGCCAGCAGCCGCGGUAAUACAGAGGGUGCGAGCGUUAAUCGGAUUUACUGGGCGUAAAGCGUGCGUAGGCGGCUUCUUAAGUCGGAUGUGAAAUCCCUGAGCUUAACUUAGGAAUUGCAUUCGAUACUGGGAAGCUAGAGUAUGGGAGAGGAUGGUAGAAUUCCAGGUGUAGCGGUGAAAUGCGUAGAGAUCUGGAGGAAUACCGAUGGCGAAGGCAGCCAUCUGGCCUAAUACUGACGCUGAGGUACGAAAGCAUGGGGAGGAAACAGG